rnacentral:rRNA from 1 species
GGGAUUGCCUUAGUAACGGCGAGUGAAGCGGCAACAGCUCAAAUUUGAAAGCUGGCCCUCUCAGGGUCCGCGUUGUAAUUUGUAGAGGAUGAUUCGGCGAGGGCUCCCGCCUAAGUCCCCUGGAACGGGGCGUCAUAGAGGGUGAGAAUCCCGUAUGCGGUGGGCUGCCUUAGCCAUGUGAAUCUCCUUCGACGAGUCGAGUUGUUUGGGAAUGCAGCUCUAAAUUGGAGGUAAAUUUCUUCUAAAGCUAAAUACUGGCCAGAGACCGAUAGCGCACAAGUAGAGUGAUCGAAAGAUGAAAAGCACUUUGGAAAGAGAGUUAAAAAGCACGUGAAAUUGUUGAAAGGGAAGCGCUUGCAACCAGACUUGUCCGCAGUUGCUCAGCCGGUCUCCUGACCGGCGUACUCUUCUGCGGCCAGGCCAGCAUCAGUUCGGGCGGUCGGAUAAAGACCCCGGGAAUGUAGCUCCUCUCGGGGAGUGUUAUAGCCCGGGGUGGAAUGCGGCCAGCCUGGACUGAGGAACUCGCUUCGGCAAGGAUGCUGGCGUAAUGGUUGUAAGCGGCCCGUCUUGAAACACGGACCAAGGAGUCUAACAUCUAUGCGAGUGUUUGGGUGUCAAACCCAUACGCGUAAUGAAAGUGAACGGAGGUGGGAACCCGCAAGGGCGCACCAUCGGCCGAUCCUGAUGUCUUCGGAUGGAUUUGAGCAAGAGCAUAGCUGUUGGGACCCGAAAGAUGGUGAACUAUGCCUGAAUAGGGUGAAGCCAGAGGAAACUCUGGUGGAGGCUCGCAGCGGUUCUGACGUGC